rnacentral:tRNA from 1 species
GUAAAUAUAGUUUAACAAAAACAUUAGAUUGUGAAUCUAAUAAUAGAAGUGUAAACCUUUUUAUUUACC